rnacentral:misc_RNA from 1 species
AAUUUGGAAGUACCCCGAUUUGAUGGCUAGGACUUGUUAGGCUGGGUAUUCAAAAUAUUGCAGUUCUUGGACUAUCAAGGGGUGCCUGAACCCGAACGCCUCACCAUCGUCUUGUUCUAUAUGGAGGACCCAACGCUUAGCUGAUACUAGUGGAUGACGCGCAACGGCUUCCUCACGACAUGGCCCGUAAUGCUUCAGGCCUUAGAGUCGCGUUUCGCUCCAUCAUUUUAUGACAAUUCGCAUGGCACACUCUUCAAGCUUCAUCAACACAGCACGGUCAAUGACUAUUUGAUCGAGUUUGAACGGCUGGCCAACUGUAUCGUUGGUCUCGCUCUGUUGUUUCUCCUUAGUUGCUUCAU